rnacentral:misc_RNA from 1 species
UUUCUCUUUUUUUUUUUUUUUUUCAUUUAAUCUUCUUCGCCCUCUUUUCUAUUAGUUAGGGAACAUAUUAUAGAUUUAUGUAUACUGCUCUCCAAGGUUUUUCCUGUGAUUUAGCAUUGGGAGUGUUUUCAAGGGUUCUUAUUGAAUCUGUAAAAGAUGUGUUGCCAAAGGAAUAAGAUAUGAUUCCAUUUAAGUUGUUGGACUAGUCUCUUUCAUCCUUUGCAAUCGGCAUAAAAUUGUAGCCGGAAGACGAUGCGUAAAACCAGUUCGAAUGUAAAUCCGCCGAAGAUGUGUAAAAGAACGAGGUUUUUCAUCUCCAUCGGGUCCUCUUCAAAUUUCACUUCACCGAAACAUUAUCUGUUUUGUUGUCGAGUCAAAUCAUUUUUUAUUUUUG